UUGACAGUUUGGCUUCCCUGUUCUGGGUGGCAAAGCCUGUGGAGUACUCACCUACCUGCUGCAUGAAGGCAGCAUGGAGGGACUGUGGUGGAUUAUCUGCAAAGAUGGCCAAAAUUCUCUCAUCCCUGCAGGCACAUACAAGAAUGAGGAAGAAAGAUGAAGAAUGAGGAGGAAGAAGGAAGGAACGAGAGAGAGGUUUCCAGAAGUUCCCCAGUCAUUGAGCAUUUCUGAGGCUCUUGAUGCAUAUGCCAAGUAGUUAUGGAGAAAGACACAGCAGCUUACCUCUGCAGGCAUCAUUGUGUGAAAGGAAGACCCAGGCUCUCUCACCACCCUUGAACAGAAGCCUUUUGCUAAGGUGAUAGCUACAUGUCCAAGCCUAUUGCGUGGCAUGCAUUUUGCCUUCUGCAGCCCACUAAAGGAAAUUGAAGUAUACAGAAUGCUUAUUUGGUCUACUCAGUAUCAUCCUAAAUGUAUGUACCAAUGCUUAGGAGUUUGCAGUUCACCCGCAAACCUCAGCGAUCCAAGCUCCCCUGGAUGACCAUCACUCACCAAGAAAAGAGCAAUAACAGGACCUGUUUUGCUAAUCCAGGACUGUUCUCCAGCACUAACUCUAAAUAAUCCCUUCUGCUAGAGUCCACUUUCUGGAACCUGUUGCCUCCGUUUUCAACGUUUCCCAAACUUGGUCCGUUGUGUGAGCUGGCUGAUAAAAGUUCCAGGGAGAAGACAUCUUACUCUUAUUGGAUCAUGCACAGUGCCUGAAGCAUUCUGUUGCAUGUAGAAGUCAGUAAAUUGCAGAUGUAAGAUUCAAAACCAGACUUCACAUCUACCGACUUCAGUGACCCUGAAAUUUGUUCACAGAGAGCAUUUAACAUAACUGUCUUCAUCAUCUCCUUCUCUACAUUAAAAAUUAUGG
rnacentral:lncRNA from 10 species